UACGUAGGGUGCGAGCGUUACUCGGAAUUACUGGGCGUAAAGCGUGCGCAGGCGGUUUUGUAAGUCAGGUGUGAAAUCCCCGGGCUUAACCUGGGAACUGCGUUUGAAACUACAAGGCUAGAGUGUGACAGAGGGGGGUGGAAUUCCACGUGUAGCAGUGAAAUGCGUAGAGAUGUGGAGGAACACCGAUGGCGAAGGCAGCCCCCUGGGUUAACACUGACGCUCAGGCACGAAAGCGUGGGGAGCAAACAGG
rnacentral:rRNA from 1 species